GACGAACGCUGGCGGCGUGCCUAAUACAUGCAAGUCGAACGCAGUGGGGACGGGUGAUUAACACGUGGGUAACCUCCCAUCAGAGGGGAUAACACUUGGAAACCGGUGCUAAACCGAUACUGAUGGAUGGACCCGCGGUGCAUUAGCUAGUUGGUGAGGUAACGGCUCACCAAGGCCACGAUGCAUAGCAGAACAGGGAGGGUGAUAGGCCACACUGGAAAUGAGACACGGCCCAGACUCCGACGGGAGGAAGCAGUAGGGAAUCUUAGGCAAUGGACGAAAGUCUGACAGAGCAACGCCGCGUGAGUGAAGAAGGUUUUCGGAUCGUAAAGCUCUGUUGUUAGAGAAGCGGUAUCUAACCAGAAAGCCACGGCUAACUACGUGACAGCAGCCGCGGGAAUAC
rnacentral:rRNA from 1 species